UUGCUUCGGCAGCACAUAUACUAAAAUUGGAAUGAUAUAGAGAAGAUUAGCAUGGUCUCUACGCAAGGAUGACACACA
rnacentral:snRNA from 1 species